GGAGAGGUGGCAGAGUGGUCGAAUGCGGCGGUCUUGAAAACCGUUAUGGGUGCAUGCCCAUCCAGGGUUCGAAUCCCUGCCUCUCCGCCA
rnacentral:tRNA from 1 species